CGGGAUAUGGCGCAGUUUGGUAGCGCGUCAUCUUGGGGUGAUGAAGGUCGCGGGUUCGAAUCCCUCUAUUCCGA
rnacentral:tRNA from 2 species